rnacentral:rRNA from 1 species
GACGAACGCUGGCGGCGUGCCUAAUGCAUGCAAGUCGAACGCACUGCCUUCGGGCAGUGAGUGGCGCACGGCUGAGGAACACGUGGGAAUCUGCCCGACCGUGGGGGAUAACACGCCGAAAGGCGUGCUAAGCCCGCAUACGCUCGCAAGAGGAAAGCGGCAACGCGCGGUCGGAGGAGCCUGCGGCCCAUCAGGUAGUCGGCGGGGUAACGGCCCACCGAGCCGGUGACGGGUAGCUGGUCUGUGAGGACAGACAGCCAGACUGGGACUGAGACACGGCCCAGACUCCUACGGGAGGCAGCAGCAAGGAAUUUUCGGCAAUGGGCGCAAGCCUGACCGAGCAACGCCGCGUGGAGGACGACGGCCUUCGGGUUGUAAACUCCUUUUGUCGGGGACGGAGUUGUGACUGUACCCCGCGAACUCAGGCUCGGCUAACUCUGUGCCAGCAGCC